CGGCGGACGGGUGAGUAAUGCCUAGGAAUCUGCCUGGUAGUGGGGGACAACGUUUCGAAAGGAACGCUAAUACCGCAUACGUCCUACGGGAGAAAGCAGGGGACCUUCGGGCCUUGCGCUAUCAGAUGAGCCUAGGUCGGAUUAGCUAGUUGGUGAGGUAAUGGCUCACCAAGGCUACGAUCCGUAACUGGUCUGAGAGGAUGAUCAGUCACACUGGAACUGAGACACGGUCCAGACUCCACGGGAGGCAGCAGUG
rnacentral:rRNA from 1 species